rnacentral:rRNA from 1 species
UACGUAGGUGACAAGCGUUGUCCGGAUUUACUGGGCGUAAAGAGCGCGCAGGCGGUCGUUUAAGUCGAGUGUGAAAGCCCCCGGCUCAACUGGGGAGGGGCAUUCGAUACUGAUCGACUCGAAGGCAGGAGAGGGUAGUGGAAUUCCAGGUGUAGCGGUGAAAUGCGUAGAUAUCUGGAGGAAUACCGGUGGCGAAGGCGGCAUCCUGGACCAUUACUGACGCUGAGGCGCGAAAGCUAGGGGAGCAAACGGG